ACAGAACCCUUCGGGGCGAAGAUAAAGUGGAUUAGCGGCGGACGGGUGAGUAACACGUGAGUAACCUGCCUUAGACAUUGGGAUAGCCUCGGGAAACCGGGAUUAAUACCAAAUAAAAUCAUAAUGACACAUGUCAUAACGAUCAAAACUCCGGUGGUCUAAGAUGGACUCGCGUCCCAUUAGCUAGUUGGUAGAGUAAAAGCCUACCAAGGCGACGAUGGGUAGCCGGCCUGAGAGGGUGAACGGCCACAUUGGAACUGAGAAACGGUCCAAACUCCUACGGGAGGCAGCAGUGGGGAAUAUUGCACAAUGGAGGGAACUCUGAUGCAGCGACGCCGCGUGAACGAAGAAGGCUUUCGAGUCGUAAAGUUCUUUUAUAUGGGAAGAUAAUGACGGUACCAUAAGAAAAAGCCCCGGCUA
rnacentral:rRNA from 1 species